UACGUAGGGGGCAAGCGUUGUCCGGAUUUAUUGGGCGUAAAGAGCGUGUAGGCGGCCAGACAAGUCUGCUGUGAAAACUCGAGGCUCAACCUCGAGCUGUCGGUGGAAACUGUCUGGCUAGAGUCCGGAAGAGGAGAGUGGAAUUCCUGGUGUAGCGGUGAAAUGCGCAGAUAUCAGGAAGAACACCUAUGGCGAAGGCAGCUCUCUGGGACGGUACUGACGCUGAGACGCGAAAGCGUGGGGAGCGAACAGGG
rnacentral:rRNA from 1 species